rnacentral:tRNA from 1 species
UUUAAUAUGGCAGAAUUAGUGCAAUGAAUUUAAGUUUCAUAUAUAAAAUUUAUAUUUUUAUUAAAA